rnacentral:misc_RNA from 1 species
GAUGAAGAACGUAGCGAAAUGCGGUAAGUAAUGUGAAUUGCAGAAUUCAGUGAAUCAUCGAAUCUUUGAACGCACAUUGCGCCCCCUGGUAUUCCGGGGGGCAUGCCUGUUCGAGCGUCAUUUCACCACUCAAGCCUCGCUUGGUAUUGGGCAUCGCGGUCCGCCGCGUGCCUCAAAUCGACCGGCUGGGUCUUCUGUCCCCUAAGCGUUGUGGAAACUAUUCGCUAAAGGGUGUUCGGGAGGCUACGCCGUAAAACAACCCCAUUUCUAAGGUUGACCUCGGAUCAGGUAGGGAUACCCGCUGAACUUAAGCAUAUCAAUAAGCGGAGGA